rfam:Biomphalaria glabrata isolate BB02 unplaced genomic scaffold LGTN_random_Scaffold114, whole genome shotgun sequence.
UGUCCCUGCCAUCGCUGCCUCCUAAAAAAAAAUCUUUCUCCUUUUACUAAAGAUUUCCGUGUAGAGGAGCAUUUUAAUGAGUCUAACUCAAAUUUUCCAGGCCCUACUAAGUAGGGU